CGAUAGUCAAUUACUAAUCGCCAUUUCUUCUCUUGUGAAUUUGUCUUGUAAAUUUUGAUCUAUUUGCCAAAUAACUUUUUGCCACGCCCACAAACUACCAAAAACUGCUACCAAACUUCCAAAAAACGCACAUUUGAAUGCUCUCCAUGGAGAAGUGCAACCCGACCAUUGUCGGGUCCAUUCAUCCAUUCAUAGUUGGACACCGGUCUUUACACACUUUUUAUCAGCCGAACAGGACUGGUUCAGCACAUGCAUAACGACUGUGAUACUACUUUCAUCGCGGCAGAUAAGUCCCUUCAGCUGUGGACCAAGGUCUUCCGCCAAGAAGUCAAUGACGUGGUGAUUUUAGAACUCACGUAGCAGCAGAUUCAGUAGCCCUUCAAACCUCCGCACACCCUCAAUUUGGAAGGACUUUGAGAGGCAAAUGUCAAAGCGAAGCAUACCUCUAUUUCAGACCAUUAUGUCCUUCACCUGCAGACAAGGAUGAUAUGCAGGCUCUAACUCCUGCAGCUUUUCUCAUCCGAGACUCGAUGACAGGAAGGGUUUGACAGCGGAUAGUAGGACGCAUCACUGAGCUUAACCCUGGUCUAGAUGGCAUAGUUUGGCAUAUGGCAUAAAUGUCGCUUACCCACACCAAACUAUACUGCAGUUGCUUAAAAUAAAAAUUGGUCAACACGCACUAUGAUCGCAGACAGCCAUAGCAAACCCUUCAUUCGUAAGCAAGGAUGGCUAGUACUGGACCCAGUAUUGGGGCGGCAUGUACUGGCGAUUGUUCACCUUUACAAUGAAUCAUCUGUCAGCUCAUGAAGGAGGAAGAAAAUAUCUAACAGCUGGUAGCACAUAGUUAGUGUUCAUCACAUAAAUGGAAUACCAUUGUUUUCGCUUUUAAGUGUUCACCUUGUUUCAUCGUGUUUCACAUUGUGAAAUUUUUAGUUUGCACCCACUAGCUGAGUAACGGAUAUCUGGUAGCCGAGGAACUCGACUAUAUCAUUUUCUCUUGUUAAAUCUGAUUUUGUUAUUUGAUUUAAUUGAUAUCUGUAUAUUCGAUUAUUUACUAUGUAUUUGCCACCUGUCCAUAGGUACUUUUCGUGUGAUUUUUUCAAAUUGAAUUCCAUUUUUUUGAAAAUGGCAGUGUGGAAGUUAAAGAUAAACUGCAGAACGGAAUGUUUAGCUGAGUUGAAAAAAAGUUGCACAAAACAAGCUGUAAAAUAUUAAUAGAUAUUCAGCGCCAGACGAAUAUCACAACAUGGUUUUGUCCCAUACAAAACUAGAAGAGAAUAAAAAGAAGAUAAUUAUUUGCUUUCAUUAUUUUAUUUCAGAUUUAAUAAUUUGUAAAUGGGUUUUAGUAUAGUCAUAGUUUGUAUUUGGAAUAAAAGUUGUAAUGGGAAUGGUAGGUAUCCAUAGUCCAUGUCUGUGUGCUAUUUUCAACCGCGAAGUCAACUGUUUCUUCCAUUUUGUCCGACGAUUUUGAAACCAUGUUUUUACUUGAACUUCCGUCAAGGAUAAUGACUUUGACAGUUCAACGCGUUUGCUGACGCUAAGAUAUUUGUCUAAAUGAAACUCAUUUUCAAGACGUUCCAGCUGUGAGGCACUAUAGGCUUGACGAGGCUUUCUGUCAGUAAAUUUCUUUCUCAUUUGUUUUUCUUUGGAACAAAAAACGGGUAUUUUUAAAGUGUAAUGUGAAGAUUAUAAUUAUUUAAAUCAAAAACAAUACCUUGGAAGUUUGUAGAGUUGGUUAUGUAAGAGUGAAAAAUAUUGUCUGUUGGCCAUAUAAAGCGCGAGACAGUGCUGUCAUCAAAUGUAAAGGGAAUCUGGAGGGGGUGUCCGUGGCAUAAAUCAAAAUUUGUAAAUUGGGUUUUUUUAUUUUGAACUCUCUGAGGAAAGCUAAAUUCAUACAGUUUCGGUACAUCGCCUGAAAUAUGAAAAUUCUUCAUUAUUUUUAAAUAAAUUUUAGACGUUUUGUAUUUAUUGGACCUUAUUUGAGUCCUGUUUGAUACGCAGCUCAUCAAUAUUUUCGAACUUACUAGUACCGAAAGUGAGUGGUUCGAUUCGUCGACGAUAAUGAAGUUUUUAUAAACCGAGAGAGGACGAUUUAGUUGAGUACUCAGAUAAUGUCGGUUACGCUAAUAAAAACUUUUGACAUUUAAAUGAAUUUUAAAAAGCAACAUUUUUAAAACCUUUAAGGGCGUUAAAAACAUUUUUGCUAUGUGUUAUUUUGUGGGCGUAGCCGUGGUCUUGGGGUAAAUGUUUUUGUCACAAAACUUUAAGCCUUAGAUUAAGUAUUGUUGUUAGAAUAUUCGGGUCCUGCCGCUGUGCUCUCUUCGCUUUCCCUAUUUGGAGGUUGAAUGCAGAGUCAGUUGAGUAUGCGUUAAUUUCAAUCGGAAGUAAAUGGUAUCUGAUAGUCGAGGAACUCUGCUUGGCGUUCUCUCUUGUUUUUUUAACUGUCGUGAGUCAGAUUGAAAGAUAUUUUUUUGUCACAGAUAAUAUAUAGAAUAUGAACAAUAAGCUCACUUAGCUGUAACAGCAGGACAACAGGUAUGACAGUACAUAAAGCAAAGAAACAGCACAUAAACAGGGGUUCCAAGUAGCCGGAUGUAUUGCAAAAGAUAAGAUAUCGAUCAUUCAAAAUAAAAGUUUUUGCUAGUGCAUGGCGAUAUAAUAUUAAUUAUAUAAAUAAACUAUACCUACUAAUAUAGUUCAUUGUAUGGCAAACUCAUCUUGCUUUCGUUUUCAAAGCAUGAGGUAAAAUAUCUCGCCUACAAUUUCGACUUGCAAUACUAAAACGAACGAAUAAAAAUUAAUGACAUUUUCAAAACUUGUGGGCGUGAUAGUUUUUCGAGGCUUAUGAUCCUUUUUGUUGGGCGUGCAAUCCUUUUAAACAUACCAGCAACAACAUGGUCAACAUAGUCAAACAAACUAUUAUUUUAGCUUAAAGUAAAAAAAAGGCUCCCAAUUCAAAAACUUAAUCGCGAUGUGUUCUCUUCGAGCUGCGAAUUCAUCCUUGUCUUCAGUGUGACUACAACUGGAGUUUGUUCAUUACAAAUUCCUCUAUACGAUUUAGCUGUUAAGCUUGAGCCCUGCCCAGAAAUCACAUAUAACUAAUGAGAAUUACCAUCAAAAGUGAUCAGUCAACAACCAAUCAAUCUGCCAGAUAUCUUAAUAUACUAUACAUACUAUAGUAUAUCGCAGCUGUAUGUGUACAAACACAUUGUGCCAAGAAAAUAAUUUAAACGAAUACAUAACAAAGAAGUAUACAUAACAUGAGACAUUUACGAGAAUAUAAACUAUAUUAUUGUAUUCUUCUAUGUAUGUAUGUUUUUAAGCUAUCUUCUUGAAUAUAGAAAGUAGUAUAUAAGUCGGGACGGGCUGAAUCGAUCUAGCAUAUAAAACAUAUAUAAAUGUAGCUGCUAUAGUAAUAUUUGUAAAAUAAAUGGGGAAACAGUUUUUGAUGUUGAUUUGUAAAUGUUUUAAUUCUGUGCACACCAGUUUUUUAAUAUUUCGGUUUUAAUAUUAUCAAAAUCGGGAUAUAUUAUUAGUGUUCGUAUUCGUUUUUGUCUACAGAAACUGCAAGGGUAUAAGGGUAUAAGCUAUGACUUUCCAAAUCUUUAUCUUACUGUUGGAAUGCUACAGAGCCGACAAAGUGCAAAUGUUUGCAACAAUUACACAAAAACGUCUCAGGUCUGACUGAGUCUCACUUCAACAAUAUUCAAAAAUGACUCCGAUAUGACUUGUUUCAGUUAUCUUUAAAAUUGAAAAAGAAAAAUUUUAAAUGUCUUCGUCUCAUAACUGAGUUAAUAGACAUUUACAAUACUAAUACAAAAUUAAAACCAAAAAAUUUUUCAAAAUGUGUGGGCGUAGCAGUUUUGGCCGUCCUGUCGGCGUGGCCACAAAAUUUUUUGCCGAGGGUACUACUCUAGAAUCUGUAUGCUUAAGCUUUUAUAGCUCCCAAAACGUUUAUGUAUACGGACGGACAGAUCAACUCGGCUAGUGGUUCUGAUCAAGAACAUAUGUAUAUAUUUUAUCGGAAACACUUAUUGCUACCAUUUAAAUACUUUUCACUAAAUCGGUAAACCGUUGUACACUAAAAGUAAUUGGAAUAUAAAAAAAAUCCACUUCUGAAGAACAAAAACUUCUUACGGCACUAUUCGGUUUCACACUACGGAAUGUGUAAAAACAUUUGUAUGUAUCUGAAAGCAAAGAGAAUAAUUAAAUCAAAGAAGAAGUAGGUAUGACUUCUUUUCAACACGAAAAAUGUCCUUUAAAUAACCGAUUACGCGUUAUAUAUAUACAGAAACAAAAUCUUGCUGCUUAUUCUCUUUUCUCAAUUUUUCUUCCGAAUAGCUGAAAUGUGCAACAGGUUUGCUGAGAAGCUAAAAAAAACAAAAAAAAUGUUAAAAAGAGUAAUAUCCAAAUCAUCAACUACCCUAAAGAUAUAGAUCACAAGGUUUAAAAUAUGUAAGAAUCUGAAAAAUCGAUAAAACCCCGUUUAAGCGUUUUUAAAGGUUUUGUAAUAAUCUGUACACUUUGACAUUGAUUUUUCCGGCGGUUAAAAUCUUUUACGCGUCAACUUAAUUUCAUUCAACUUGAAUUUACAUUUCUAGGUCUUUUUAAAGGUCUUAAAUAUAGGUUAUAAACCAUACUAUUUAUGCUAACAUAAAUCCUUUCAUUUCGAUAUGAUUAUAGAAUGGGUUUUACUUUUAAAAUAAAAUAAAUCUUUCCUUGUAAUAUAUAUAUUCUGCCUAUUGUUAAAAAUCAAGGAAUGUAAUAAAAAUUAAAAAAAAAAAUUAUUUAUGUAUAAUAUUAUUGAUAAUAAGAACUUUGAAAGCAAACAUUUUAUUUAAGUAUACAACUUUUUUGUGAGUUAUACAUAUAUAUACAUACUCACAUAAACUGUUAUUUAAAGAUUAGAAAAGCAAAUAAAGGACCUUAAGCUUACAGGCAUAAAA